UACACUCCUGCGGGAGGCAGCAGUGGGGAAUUUUGGACAAUGGGCGAAAGCCUGAUCCAGCCAUGCCGCGUGCAGGAUGAAGGCCUUCGGGUUGUAAACUGCUUUUGUACGGAACGAAACGGCCUUUUCUAAUAAAGAGGGCUAAUGACGGUACCGUAAGAAUAAGCACCGGCUAACUACGUGCCAGCAGCCGCGGUAAUACGUAGGGUGCAAGCGUUAAUCGGAAUUACUGGGCGUAAAGCGUGCGCAGGCGGUUAUGUAAGACAGUUGUGAAAUCCCCGGGCUCAACCUGGGAACUGCAUCUGUGACUGCAUAGCUAGAGUACGGUAGAGGGGGAUGGAAUUCCGCGUGUAGCAGUGAAAUGCGUAGAUAUGCGGAGGAACACCGAUGGCGAAGGCAAUCCCCUGGACCUGUACUGACGCUCAUGCACGAAAGCGUGGGGAGCAAACAGGAUUAGAAACCCCUGUAGUCCCAU
rnacentral:rRNA from 1 species